AAAUAAAUAGAAGGCACAACUUUUGGAGAGAUCUGCAUUACAUUGGGCAAGAUACAUGUGGAACCUCUGAGGUGAGGAACUACUUUCUGUGGGAGCUGCAGCAUGGCUCAGGUGUGUCGACAAGUGCUUUAAAUGAAGAGCAAGAUCAUGGUUCAUCAUAUAGAAGCCCACAUGAAUGAUUACUUUUAAAUUUCUUUGAUCUUGUUCAUGAAAGUAUUUAAAAACUUUGGUAGAGAAUGUAAGAAAGGCAGUAAUGGCUUCAUUUUUCUUAAUAUGGAUACAACAAGCUGCUACUGAUUUAGCUCUUUGAAGACUGGGAUUUGAGUAGAAUAGCUGGAAAGGAACCUUCAAAGGCCAUCCAGUCCCACUGCCUGACCACUUCAGCUUAUGCAACGUGGCCACAGUAACAAGAAAGUCAAUGUUUCCAUUUAAAAGUGAUUUCUAUUUUUGAGGAGCCUAAAGGUCAUCCAGGCAUCUGGAUAUGCAGAGCUUUGGAAGAGCUGCUCCUCGAUGUGGAGGAUACUUUUGGAUCUGGAUGUUUAGCCUUCUUGAAAAUCUGUCACUGUACAUAGAUUUCCUGAGAUUUCUGGAAGAACUCAGCAUGCUCCAUGUACAAGUGAUCUGCCCUGGAACAGCAGGGGUGAAUCUUCUCUGGAUACAAAACAAUGAAGAUGUAUGGAAGAAGAAUGGAAUAAUACAUCAGCUGAAUGCAUGAUCUCCAUGAUUAUAUGACAAAAGGAAAAA